UACGAAGGGGGCUAGCGUUGUUCGGAAUUACUGGGCGUAAAGCGCGCGCAGGCGGUCCUUUAAGUCAGGGGUGAAAUCCUGGAGCUCAACUCCAGAACUGCCUUUGAUACUGGCGAUCUCGAGUCCGGGAGAGGUGAGUGGAACUGCGAGUGUAGAGGUGAAAUGCGUAGAUAUCGUAAGGAAGACCAGUGGCGAAGGCGGGUCUCUGGACAGUUCCUGACGCUGAGGCACGAAGGCCAGGGGAGCGAACGGG
rnacentral:rRNA from 1 species